rnacentral:rRNA from 1 species
UACGGAGGAUGCGAGCGUUAUCCGGAUUUAUUGGGUUUAAAGGGUGCGUAGGCGGGAUGCCAAGUCAGCGGUCAAAUACGGGGGCUCAACCUGCGUCCGCCGUUGAAACUGGCGUUCUUGAGUGCGCGAAGGGUAGGCGGAAUGCGUGGUGUAGCGGUGAAAUGCAUAGAUAUCACGCAGAACUCCGAUCGCGAAGGCAGCCUACCGGCGCGCUACUGACGCUCAUGCACGAAAGCGUGGGUAUCGAACAGG